AUUGAACGCUGGCGGCAGGCCUAACACAUGCAAGUCGAACGAGUGGCGGACGGGUGAGUAAUGUCUGGGAAACUGCCCGAUGGAGGGGGAUAACUACUGGAAACGGUAGCUAAUAACGCCUACCAUGGGAUGUGCCCAGAUGGGAUUAGCUAGUAGGUGGGGUAAAGGCGCACCUAGGCGACGAGCCCUAGCUGGUCUGAGAGGAUGACCAGCCACACUGGAACUGCGACACGGUCCAGACUCCUACGUGAGGCAGCAGUGGGGAAUAUUGCACAAUGGGCUCAAGCCUGAUGCAGCCAUGCCGCGUGUAUGAAGAAGGCCUUCGGGUUGUAAAGUACUUUCAGCGGGGAGGCGUUACCCGCAGAAGAAGCACCGGCUAACUCCGUGCCAGCAGCCGCGGUAAUUC
rnacentral:rRNA from 1 species